CCAAAUACUUGGAUCCAAAUGAUCUAGGCAAGAUCAGCUUCAGAGAUUUCUGUCAUGGAGUGUUUGCCAUCAAAGGCUGUGAAGAGUUACUGAAGGAUGCAUUGUCCGUUGAAAGCCUCGAGCCUCAGCACUAUGAGACACCAUAUGUGGAUUACUACUACCAGGGGACUUGAACACACCUGGAACUGUCUUACACUACAUCAGAUCAUUGGUCCAGUACUGCCAGAGAGUCUCCAGGAUCUUAGGCAGAGAUUAUUCCUACCUCUGCUGGACAAGAGAUACUUUGAACUGAAAACGACAAGGUUUUAACCUGUGACCUCUGGCAUGUAAAACACAUGUUCUGCUGCCGAGCUGUGACCCUCCAAU